AGCAUAUCAAUAAGCGGAGGAAAAGAAACCAACAGGGAUUGCCUCAGUAACGGCGAGUGAAGCGGCAACAGCUCAAAUUUGAAAUCUGGCCCCCAGGGCCCGAGUUGUAAUUUGCAGAGGAUGCUUUGGGCGCGGCGCCUUCCGAGUUCCCUGGAACGGGACGCCAUAGAGGGUGAGAGCCCCGUCUGGUUGGACGCCUAGCCUGUGUAAAGCUCCCUCGACGAGUCGAGUAGUUUGGGAAUGCUGCUCUAAAUGGGAGGUAUAUGUCUUCUAAAGCUAAAUACCGGCCAGAGACCGAUAGCGCACAAGUAGAGUGAUCGAAAGAUGAAAAGCACUUUGAAAAGAGAGUUAAAAAGUACGUGAAAUUGUUGAAAGGGAAGGGCUCGCGACCAGACUUGGGUCUGGGGAUCACCCGGCGUUCUUCGCCGGGGCACUCCCCCGGCACAGGCCAGCAUCGGUUCGGCCCGGGGGAUAAAGGCGGCGGGAACGUGGCUCUUCGGAGUGUUAUAGCCCGCCGCGCAAUACCCUGGGGCGGACCGAGGACCGCGCAUCUGCAUGGAUGCUGGCGUAAUGGUCGCCAGCCACCCGU
rnacentral:rRNA from 1 species